AGCCACGCAGUGAAUACAAAGCGAACUAUUCUUUCGCCUUUUACUAAAGAAUACGUGUAUUCGCUGCCUUCAAGUGGCAUACGCCUAUUUUUGGAGAGACUCUUCGACAGUUGAAGGGC
rnacentral:snRNA from 1 species